GCCUCCCAUUAAUCCCUCAUCUCUUCAGUUCUCUCUCUGAGACCUAGACUAAGCCUUAGCCGCCGCCACCUAAAACCAGCCCUAAUCCCUUCGAUCCUCACUCGAUCAAUCGAUUCCCAUGACUAUUUAUGACAUACUUGUCUCCUACGACUCCUGGUUUCUCGUUUUUGUGCUUUCACGGAAGGAUCUCAAAGAGAUCUUGUAAAAAAUUCUCUGAGAGUCGGUCCAUGGUCUGUGAGUGCUUUUUAUCGAUGUUUUACGAUUCAAAUCCUUGAUUCAAAGGCCAGAUUCUCUUACACUUUGUCUUUUCUUCAAUAAACUCAAUGUUUGGACAUGAAUUGUUCAGAUCUCCGUAGAUCUCGAACGAUCCUGAGUUCAUCGUUGAUAUUGUUUAAAAGUUCCUUCACUUAUUUACUAGUUAGUCGAUGCCUGGAUUUUUUUUUGUUAUGUUAGGGUUUUGUUGGUCGAGCCUCUAGGUAUCUGAAAUAUUUUUCAAUCUUUCAUGGCUACUCUUCUGGGUUCUUUUACUCCUUCACUACUGACUGAUUUUUAAACACUACAAUACUUCAGGUUUUGACUUCCGUUUAUUCGAAUCUUUAUAUGUCGACAUACUUUUAAGUUUUCUUCUUUAAGUAUUUUCAAACUGGGGUUUCAUCCCUUUAAGUUUUCUACAAAAAUUCUAAAGUAGUUGACGGUGGUUCUCUUUACUUGUUCCACUAAUUCUUCAUAUGUAUGUUUUCAUCCCUAGGUUUUCUGCUUAUUUCACUGAUUAUUUCAUUGUUUUGCAUGUUAUUCAUUAGUUGUGUCAAUUAAAAGGGAUUUACUGAUUUUAUUAGCCUAAUUAGGGUUCAAAUUAUAUUUUUUGCCGAGAUUGGUACUUUUCUGUAAUUUCUUUACUUAGUUGUGACUCAUAACUGGUACUACUUGCCUUAAUUGGUUUAUUAGCCUGAUUUAUAGGAUUUAAUUGCUUUAAACCAACUCCUGCGUAUCUCAUUGAUUUGUUUACCGUAUUGAACCUAUAACUUGGAUGUUAAUUGAUUCUCCCUAAUUUAAGGGCUACUAUCAAGAUUUUGUUGAAUUAUUUGAUUGGGUUUAGCUCCAAUUAACUAUUUAAUUUUACUUGCACUACUUAUUUGGAACUCUUAGUUAUUCUUUGCCUUACUUGCUUUACCCUGCUAAGUGCUAUAUAAUCUCCCUAUUCUGACCUUUGAAAGACGAACAGUUAGUUUGAAAACACACACACACACACACAUAAAAAAUCUCUUUUCUCUCUUUGCUACUUGUGCUAACUACUUGUCUAGCUGGCUGAAAGCCAAGCUAGACUAUGGAACUCUACUUGCUUUACUUUCUUCACUUUGCUUCCUUAACUGGUAUGUUCCUAGUUCAAUUCUGAAACUCAACCCUAUGUGCUAUACGUCUGUUAUUCUCCCGCUACACUAAUUUAAUGGCUUAUGUAUUUAAUUGCCCUUUUUAUUUACUUCUUUAUUCCGCAUGCCUAUGUUGUGCCCUCUCUUGUUUAAGUGUGUAAUCAAUAUGUUUAGAUAUCACUUAUCUUUUUUGAUACUUGCCCAGCAUGUUUACUUCAGUUCUUGUUUAUUCCCCUCAACUAGAAUGUUAUGUUAGUAUGAUAGACUCCUAAAUGUUCUUGGUUAACACUAAGUGGCAUGCCUAAUCAUGCUUAAUAGACCCUUGUCCUCAGCAUGACUGCAUACAUACCCUGUCUCUAUAUCUUAUUGCCUAUUACUAUUCUAAUAUUGAGCAUGAUUCCCUUGUUGACACUUUGAAGUAGUAGUUCGUGUUCUAGAGGCCCAUCGGUUUCCACUUGUUCUUUGUACUUGCUUGUCUAUAUGCUUCUCUGCUCAUCCAUGUUAUGUGUUUCUGAUUUGAGCUCUCUAUGUCCCCAACCUCCUGAUCCUUGACCUGUAAAACUGUCUGUCUUCACUUAAAAUUAAGUAAUAAAUGGCUCUGAAUCUGAGCACUCUAAGUUGUAUUUUGUGAUUGUGUGUUUUCUGAGAGUUGCUCCCAAAACUACUUUCACUCUUAGCAUUUUUUUAAAUUGUGUCUAUUCCUAAAAACCUUUUCACUCAUGAAAGUUCUACUUCAACAUUGUUUUGCUAAGUUCGUUUAAAAACUAUGCUAAGCACUCUCACCUUACUCUUAAACCACUAAUUUCUGCCCCUUUUGUGUGAGCCUUUCCUUGGGACCUUUGAGCUCCCUUUGAACUUGGACACAUGAAAGCUGGUAUUUCCAUACUACACUUACUCAGUCUUCACUAUAAAAUCUGGGUGUGAGCACCGCCUGGGAUCCUUGACAUACCUAACUAUGAGGAAAAUCUGUGAAACAAUCUUGGCACUUAAGGUGAUUUAUCCCAUAACUUAGGAAGGAAUUCAUAAUCAUGUGCUAAAAGUUUGGGCCUGUUUCUAGGCUCUCAAUGGUGUCACUUUUACCUUUCUUUUAUGCUCAUGUAAUUCAUUUCAAUAUUUUUUCUGUAAUAAUCUGUUGUAAACAAGUAUUGGGGCUGGCUAGUGAAAAUAGGAGGGUAGUGAUACGUGCUAUCAACAUUGAUGGGUAGAAACCAUGUCAUAGGUUUACACUCCCUAUGUGUGCAUUAGAAUCCAUGUGUAUGAUCAACCCAUUAAAAGCAUGUCGUGUAUAAGAUACCAUGUUUCUUAGGUUUUCUUGUUUCACCAUCUCAUUUGGCAUCACUUGAUCACUUAGAAAUCCCGCUUUAGGAUAAAUAACAUUAUUAACAUAAAAUGUUUCUCUUGCACAUCUUGAAAUCAUGCUGUAACUCUUUGGGCAUUUAGAGAUCAUGCUUUAGGGAUUCUAUAUAUUCUGCAAAUCAUUCUGUAAUUUUUGUAUGUACAUCUUAGAUACCCUAUUUAGGAACUCGCUCAAUCACACCUAGUUAAUCCAAUAAUGCAUUAAAAGGGAUAUAAAACAGUGUCACGUUUGACUAUCUUGUUUAAGUAAAACUGGUAACAAUCCCUGCAC
rnacentral:lncRNA from 1 species